GAAAGAUCCGGGGCUCAGCUUGAAANACAUGGCNGGCAGGCCUAAACACAUGCAAAGUCGAGCGGAUGAGAAGAGCUUGCUCUUCGAUUCAGCGGCGGACGGGUGAGUAAUGCCUAGGAAUCUGCCUGGUAGUGGGGGACAACGUUUCGAAAGGAACGCUAAUACCGCAUACGUCCUACGGGAGAAAAGCAGGGGACCUUCGGCCCUUGCGCUAUCAGAUGAGCCUAGGUCGGAUUAGCUAGUUGGUGAGGUAAUGGCUCACCAAGGCGACGAUCCGUAACUGGUCUGAGAGGAUGAUCAGUCACACUGGAACUGAGACACGGUCCAGACUCCUACGGGAGGCAGCAGUGGGGAAUAUUGGACAAUGGGCGAAAGCCUGAUCCAGCCAUGCCGCGUGUGUGAAGAAGGUCUUCGGAUUGUAAANCACUUUAAGUUGGGAGGNAGGCAUUGAACUUGNUACCUUGAUAUGACUUCUACCUGUACGAACUCCAGUCCAGCCCC
rnacentral:rRNA from 1 species